rnacentral:piRNA from 1 species
UAGCCAUGAUCCGUAAUUUUGCUUGCAGA